rnacentral:rRNA from 1 species
CCUACGGGCGGCAGCAGUGGGGAAUAUUGCACAAUGGGGGAAACCCUGAUGCAGCAACGCCGCGUGAAUGAAGAAGGUUUUCGGAUUGUAAACUUCUGUUCUUAGUGAAGAAGAAUGUCGGUAGCUAAAGAGCAAGCCACGGCUAACUACGUGCCAGCAGCCGCGGUAAUACGUAGGGGGCAAGCGUUGUCCGGAAUUACUGGGUGUAAAGGGAGCGCAGGCGGGCAGCCAAGUCAGCUGUGAAAACUACGGGCUUAACUUGGAGACUGCAGUUGAAACUGGUUUUCUUGAGUGAAGUAGAGGUUGGCGGAAUUCCGGGUGUAGCGAUGAAAUGCGUAGAUAUUCGGAGGAACACCGGUGGCGAAGGCGGCCCACUGGGC